GCUAAUGGCCUUAGAGGCAUAGGUUGCGGGAAAAUGUUAGUGAAUAUUGGGUUUUGUCGUUUUCUUCCAGCAACGAUUUAGCAGCGCUGUCAAUCAUGGAUGCUCGGCGAGUUCCUUCUAUAUAAUACAGCCCUGACACUUCUAGAAUCGUCUGACAGAUGUCGUUUCUAAGGAACAUUUCCCUGCUCCUCCAACAUUGUGUACAUGAUCCGUGGUUGUCUCUGCAUGGGUGGGUGCGAUUCUCUCGGCGACGGCGACAUACCGGCCGAGAAGGGCUUCGAUUACACGGGUUGCUUUAUUUUUUUAGUUUUUUCUCUUCUUUGGUGUUACUUUUUUGGUUUGUUUUUGUUCUGUUCUGGGGAGCCGGGACUGUUUAGGGGCAAUGGUUCGGCCGGAGUUUCUGAAAUAGUCCUAACUCAGCUCUCCUUUCUUUUAUUUUCUCUUAGACGAGUACUCUUUUUCCUCUUAUUGAGGUUUUAAUGAGGCUCGGCCCUUAGUCUGCUUUUCUGUGCUGUCAAGGGUUUAGGUUCUUCUUUCUUUUUUCGUUUUCUAUAAAAAUUUUAUUUUAAUAAUA